UCCAAUUGAUGUCCAGUGCGGCUGGUCC
rnacentral:sRNA from 1 species